rnacentral:rRNA from 1 species
AUUGAACGCUGGCGGCAGGCUUAACACAUGCAAGUCGAACGAGUGGCGGACGAGUGAGUAAUGUUUGGGAAUCUUCCUGAUGGAGGGGGAUAACUACUGGAAACUGUAGCUAAUACCGCAUACCAUAGGAUGAGCCCACCGGGGAUUAGCUAGGUGGUGAGGUAAAGGCUCACCAAGCCGACGAUCUCUAGCUGGUCUGAGAGGAUGACCAGCCACACUGGGACUGAGACACGGCCCAGACUCCUACGGGAGGCAGCAGUGGGGAAUAUUGCGCAAUGGGGGCAAGCCUGACGCAGCCAUGCCGCGUGAAUGAAGAAGGCCUUCGGGUUGUAAAGUUCUUUCGGUGGCGAGGCGUUAACUACAGAAGAAGCACCGGCUAACUCCGUGCCAGCCGCCGCGGUAAUAC